rnacentral:rRNA from 1 species
UACGAAGGGUGCAAACGUUGCUCGGAAUCAUUGGGCGUAAAGCGCACGUAGGCGGCUUCGCAAGUCGGAUGUGAAAUCCCUCGGCUCAACCGAGGACGUGCAUCCGAAACUGCGAGGCUUGAGUACAGAAGAGGAUCGCGGAAUUCCCGGUGUAGAGGUGAAAUUCGUAGAUAUCGGGAGGAACACCAGUGGCGAAGGCGGCGCACUGGGCCGAUACUGACGCUGAGGCACGAAAGCGUGGGGAGCAAACAGG